UAUUCGGGAGAAGGUGGGAGUGGCUUCGGUGGAGGACAAGAUGCGGGAAGGAAGGCUGAGAUGGUUUGGGCAAGUGAUGAGGAGGAGCACGGAUGCCCCAGUGCGGAGGUGCGAGCGGCUAGCUUUGGGUAGAGGUAGGCCGAAGAAGUACUAGAGAGAAGUGAUUAGACAUGACAUGGAGCUGUUACAGCUGUCUGAGGACAUGACCCUAGAUAGGAAAGUGUGGAGGUCGCGAAUAAGGGUAGAAGGCUAGUGCGUGGGUGGGUUGUAACUAGUAGUUAGGGAGCUCGGUUGUAGACGGGUUAGUAAGCCUACGACUGUGUACAUUGGUAAGAGCCACUAGUGCAUGCUACUACUAGGGGGCACCCUUUUGUCCUUUUCUCUUCCUUUCCCUUUUCUUAUUUCUUAUUUCCUGUUUUUUAAAUUUUUGUAUUGCUCUUUUUUCGUGGCUCGCUUAGCUCUAUUGUUAUUAUUUCUCAUUUCUUAUUUUGUUUAUGCCACCUAUUCCGUGUCAUAUAUUACUAUGACCUUGUUGACUAUUCAUUAUCUUGAGCCGGGGGUCUAUCGGAAACAACCUCUCUACUUCUUUGGAAGUAGCGGUAUGAACUGCGUACAUUUUACCCUCCCUAGAUCCCACUUGGCGGGAAUACACUGGGUUUGUUGUUGUUGUACUAUGUUUCCUGUCUGUUAAGAAGUUAUUUGUGUUUCUUAUUAUUCUCAUUCCUAUUAACCUUCAACUUCAGAAAUUCCAACCAACAGAAGCCAUUUUGUUGCUCCUGAUAGCUUUUUGCUGUUGUUCCAAUGGUUUAUUGCAAGUGAGUACUCUUUUCCUAUUUCAAAACAGUCUCUUCCUUUUCUUCCAUGAUUCUUUCUGAUCUCUGGUCAGUCGGCUUGAAAUAGACGUGUUUUAUUUAUCAUAAUACGGCAAAUGACUUAUUGGCGCUGGCAACAUCCAGCAUUUGUAAUACAGUCUCAAGGUUAUUAUCUGGAAGUUGUUCAUGUGCUUUCUUCCAAGAUAUUCGUAAUCCUUAUUGGGACUUAAAUUUUACAUAUAGUUUUAAACACUUCAUAAUAUCUGAAGUGUUUCUGAAGUGUUUGUUAUUUUUGUAGACGUUAAAGACUUCGAUCAUCAAGAUUUCAUGUGAAUGUAGCAAUAUCCAGAGCAGCAAUUCAGAGGAAGGGCUAACACCUUUUUCUCUUCAGCAACAGUUCAGAGGAGUCUUUGCUUUAAACCAACAUCGGGAGACAAGGUUAGGUGCUGGUUAGUGCGCUAUGUUGCUUGUUGACAUUUUUUAAAUGUCAACGGGUGCUUGUCAGAUUCUCGGAAAGUAGUGUAUUUUUGGAGAAUCCAACACGGGUGCGGUAAGUGAAGAGUCUGCGCAACACAUCUUUUCCCAGUACAGAAGCAACAAGGGGUGCUAACCGGCCACCCAAUCCAGUAGGCCCAAGUGUCGGAGUUCCAUAGCAUGAGGGAAUGUUGGGUUGGAGGUGGAGGGUGCCUGCCAUCCGAGGAAUCCUUGUUAUUUUUUGCGGAGUAUUAAGCUUGACAUAAUAUUUUUAAUCACAAUGCUGUUAUAAAUUUGUUGGCACACAAAUGUUAUAUUAUACACUAUAAUUUUUGA